rnacentral:lncRNA from 1 species
GCUAAUAAAGAUUUUAAAGCCCAAAUCUUUACACAACACAAUUCACUGCAAGAAAGUAAAGUCAAAAUGCUGUAAGAAUUACAAUGGGAUUUUACCAAUUGUUAGUGUUCAAAUUCCUCAAGUAAACACAAAUGGAAAUACAAGUCUGGACACCAGUGACCCACAGAUACAUACAUGUACUUUUAAUAAUUAGGAAAUUAGUGCUCAAUACUGUGCCCUUUGUGUGGGAGAAAACAUUCUUUAUACAAGGAUUGUUACCUAGCUAUUACAAUAGUUUAAGGUAAUGUACAAUAUAUAUUUGACACAGAGAGUGUUAGAUGUUCACACUGCAUAAAUGAAUCCUCUAGCCUUUGAUGUCUUCAAAAGAAGUUUUACAACUAUUAGUGAAGCUAAGGCACUACAUAUUUUCCCUCCACAAUGUGGAUUUGUGUCAUUUAAACUGAAGAAGUUGAUCUCGUGUGAUGACAGGUAUGUCUGAAGAGGCGUCGUUCAGAGUCAUCUAUCCUCUUGGCAUGCCAAGGCAAGAGGAAAGCAUUCCUCAAACCAAAGAAAUCUUCCAACCAAAACAGGUAAUAUUUAGCCUAAUUUCUUACAAAAGCUUGUAAACAGGUGUUUUUUUCUGUCCUUCACCACCAUGAGUUGGGAAUCUAUGCCUGUGGGCCAAAUCUUGUCUGUGCCUGCUGUUUUUGUAAAUAAAGUCUUAUUGGAACACAGACAUGACUGCUUGCUUAUUUUGGCUGUGGCUGCCUUUGUGCUACAAUGGCAGAGUCAAGUAGUUGUUAACAAGGACCUUAUGACUUAAAAUAUCUACUUUCUGGCUCUUUACAAAAAAUAUUUGCCGAUCCCUGAUCAUGUGGUGAAAAUUUGAUUUUGGAGGCAGAGCCAUGUUACAGAAGCCCGACCUCCAGAAAGGGAUCUGGUGAGACACAUAGAAUGUCACAGCUAAGUCAAAGGGGGAGCAUCUUCCCAGUGGCCUGGUGUCCAGGCACAUGCUAGGCACUCAGUGGGUGCUUAAUCCAUUUGUUCAGUGAAUCCUGAGGAUUUGCUUUGCCAAUUGGGUAGAAAGAUAAGAUUCUUUUGAAAGAAGAUUAACCUGCCGAGUGCGGUGGCUCAUGGUUGUAGUCCCAGCACUUUGGGAGGCUGAGGCGGGUGGAUCAUUUGAGGUCAGAAGUUCGAGACCAGCCUGGCCAACAUGGUGAAACCCGUCUCUACUAAAAUUACAAAAAUUAGCCAAGUGUGGUGGUACAUGCCUGUAAUCUCAGCUACUUGGGAGGCUGAGGCAGGAUAAUUGCUUGAACCUGGCAGGCGGAGGGGAGGCAGAUGUUGCAGUGAGCCAAGAUUGUGCCACUGCACUCCUGCCUGGGCAACAGAGUGAGACUGUCUCAAAAAAAAAAGAAAGAAGAUUAACCAUGUUCAUAGUUGUCAAAGGUAGCAAGUGACCUUUUCAUCCCGAUUUGCCCAGAACAGGACAUGCCUUAGCCAUGUUUUGUUUUUAAUAUCAAUUCGGUAAUUAAAAGAAGUUACAGAUGAUAUGCAUUUUUAUCAUAGUCUAACUGCUCUGGUAAAUGGAUCAUUGGAAUUUUCACAUUGUAAUAGUAGCUGGAGGCUUUUGUGGUUCAUCAGUUGAGAAACCCACAUUAGACCCACUUUUCAUUUGAGCCAUUUCUCCAUAUGCCCACUAUGUAUCAAGAGGGGUACCAGAUGCAGGGAGUCAGUGAGCUUUCUCAUCUCAUCUUCCUUGUAGACAAUUACUUCUUCCCUCCACAUCCUUCCUUUUCCAAAAGCAGAAUUGGCAACCCCUGACCAAGGAACUUGACCCGGAAUGUCACUGCACAA